CAGUCGCCACGGUAAAACGAAGGGGGCUAGCGUUGUUCGGAAUCACUGGGCGUAAAGGGUGCGUAGGCGGGCAUUUAAGUCAGGGGUGAAAUCCCGAGGCUCAACCUCGGAACUGCCCUUGAUACUGGGUGUCUUGAGUCCGGAAGAGGUGAGUGGAACUGCGAGUGUAGAGGUGAAAUUCGUAGAUAUUCGCAAGAACACCGGUGGCGAAGGCGGCUCACUGGUCCGGAACUGACGCUGAGGCACGACAGCGUGGGGAGCAAACAGGAUUAGAUACCCGUGUAGUCCCUGUCUCUUAUAC
rnacentral:rRNA from 1 species